rnacentral:rRNA from 1 species
ACUGAGACAGACCAGCUACGGGCGCAGCAGUCGCGAACUUGCAAUACACGAAAGUGUGACAGGGCUAUCCCGAGUGCCAUCCGCUGAGGAAGGCUUUUACCCAGUCUAGAAAGCUGGGGGAAUAAGGAGAGGGCAAGUCUGGUGUCAGCCGCCGCGGUAAUACCAGCUCUCCGAGUGGUGUGGAUGUUUAUUGGGCCUAAAGCAUCCGUAGCUGGCUAAGUUAGUCCCUUGUUAAAUCCACCGAAUUAAUCGUUGGAUUGCGGGGGAUACUGCUUAGCUAGGGGACGAGAGAGGCAGACGGUAUUUCCGGGGUAGGGGUGAAAUCCUAUAAUCCCGGGAAAGACCACCAAGUGGCGAAAGGCUGUUCUGCUAGAACGCGC